AAAUUGAAGAGUUUGAUCAUGGCUCAGAUUGAACGCUGGCGGCAGGCCUAACACAUGCAAGUCGAGCGGUAGCACAGAGAGCUUGCUCUCGGGUGACGAGCGGCGGACGGGUGAGUAAUGUCUGGGAAACUGCCUGAUGGAGGGGGAUAACUACUGGAAACGGUAGCUAAUACCGCAUAAUGUCGCAAGACCAAAGUGGGGGACCUUCGGGCCUCAUGCCAUCAGAUGUGCCCAGAUGGGAUUAGCUAGUAGGUGGGGUAAUGGCUCACCUAGGCGACGAUCCCUAGCUGGUCUGAGAGGAUGACCAGCCACACUGGAACUGAGACACGGUCCAGACUCCUACGGGAGGCAGCAGUGGGGAAUAUUGCACAAUGGGCGCAAGCCUGAUGCAGCCAUGCCGCGUGUGUGAAGAAGGCCUUCGGGUUGUAAAGCACUUUCAGCGGGGAGGAAGGCGUUAAGGUUAAUAACCUUGGCGAUUGACGUUACCCGCAGAAGAAGCACCGGCUAACUCCGUGCCAGCAGCCGCGGUAAUACGGAGGGUGCAAGCGUUAAUCGGAAUUACUGGGCGUAAAGCGCACGCAGGCGGUCUGUCAAGUCGGAUGUGAAAUCCCCGGGCUUAACCUGGGAACUGCAUUCGAAACUGGCAGGCUAGAGUCUUGUAGAGGGGGGUAGAAUUCCAGGUGUAGCGGUGAAAUGCGUAGAGAUCUGGAGGAAUACCGGUGGCGAAGGCGGCCCCCUGGACAAAGACUGACGCUCAGGUGCGAAAGCGUGGGGAGCAAACAGGAUUAGAUACCCUGGUAGUCCACGCCGUAAACGAUGUCGAUUUGGAGGUUGUGCCCUUGAGGCGUGGCUUCCGGAGCUAACGCGUUAAAUCGACCGCCUGGGGAGUACGGCCGCAAGGUUAAAACUCAAAUGAAUUGACGGGGGCCCGCACAAGCGGUGGAGCAUGUGGUUUAAUUCGAUGCAACGCGAAGAACCUUACCUGGUCUUGACAUCCACAGAACUUUCCAGAGAUGGAUUGGUGCCUUCGGGAACUGUGAGACAGGUGCUGCAUGGCUGUCGUCAGCUCGUGUUGUGAAAUGUUGGGUUAAGUCCCGCAACGAGCGCAACCCUUAUCCUUUGUUGCCAGCGGUCCGGCCGGGAACUCAAAGGAGACUGCCAGUGAUAAACUGGAGGAAGGUGGGGAUGACGUCAAGUCAUCAUGGCCCUUACGACCAGGGCUACACACGUGCUACAAUGGCAUAUACAAAGAGAAGCGACCUCGCGAGAGCAAGCGGACCUCAUAAAGUAUGUCGUAGUCCGGAUUGGAGUCUGCAACUCGACUCCAUGAAGUCGGAAUCGCUAGUAAUCGUAGAUCAGAAUGCUACGGUGAAUACGUUCCCGGGCCUUGUACACACCGCCCGUCACACCAUGGGAGUGGGUUGCAAAAGAAGUAGGUAGCUUAACCUUCGGGAGGGCGCUUACCACUUUGUGAUUCAUGACUGGGGUGAAGUCGUAACAAGGUAACCGUAGGGGAACCUGCGGUUGGAUCACCUCCUUA
rnacentral:rRNA from 1 species